AUGGCGAACGGCGAACAGGACAUGGCCACCGCUAAAUUGAUGGAGACGGAGGGGCUGAAGGUCCUUGCCGUGGACGACGAUCCCGUCUGCCUCCAGACCUUGACGCAGAUGCUUCGGCGUGGCGGCUACGAAGUGACGGCCAGCGCCUCGCCCGCGGAUGCGCUGAGAGAGGUGGAGAAGAACCCGGAUGGGAUCGAUUUCAUCAUGACUGUCGCGCAGACCCGGGGCCGGGGGCGAGGGAUGGACGGCUUCGGCCUUCUCAAGCGCGUCGGGAAACGUUACCCAGUCAUCCUCGUGUUCUCAGGCGACGAGACCAUGGAGACAAGGGAAAGGGGAAAGCAGGGAGGCGCUUGCUACUUGAUGGAAAAGCCCUUGCGUGACGCGCAGAUAUAUUUCAUCUGGCAGCAAGUCGUGCGGUGGAGGCGCAAAGCCGCCGGCGCAGCCACGGAGAACCCUAACCCUCGCCACAGCCAAGGCAUCCGUCUGGAUGACACGCCAAGGAAGAGAGGGCAAGGAGUGAACGAUUCCAGCAAGGGCAAGGGGGCUUCAGAGGGCGGCCUGCAGCUGGGGAUCACAAAGAAGAAAAAGGUCGAGUGGACCCGAGAGAUGCAUGUAUUGUUCGUCAAUGCGGUCACCCAGCUAAAGACAACAGGAGGUGCGUGA
rnacentral:rRNA from 1 species